rnacentral:tRNA from 1 species
AGCGACGUGGCUUAGUGGGUUAAAGCGCCUGUCUAGUAAACAGGAGAUCACGAGUUCGAAUCUCGUCGGUGCCU